UUACGGCUACACCACGUUGAAACACCAGUUCUCAUACGAUCACGGAAGUUAAGCAAUGUUGAGCCUGGUCAGUACCUAAUGGGUGACCACUUGGGAGUACCAGGUGCUGUAAG